CAAGCUUAGCAGAGAAUGGGGGUGGGGAGUUAUCUGGAUCUGUAACUGCAUGGUGCUAGAGAGAAUAAGCCUCCAGGAACAAGACUCCCAGUUCCUGCAGGUGGAGAUAAGAUAGCAGCUGGAAAGUAUCCCUGGGAGUAUCUGACAACAUUGCUUCAUCCUACCAGAAACAGCCCUGUCCAUGCAAAAGUCAGACUGAGAAGCUCACAGGCUUGAUUCCUGGGUGGGAAGGAAAGCAAUCUCAGCAGCAUCUCCAGCCUCAUCACACCAUGAUGCAAAGAGCAGGAAUUAUGGGAACUAUCAGCAGCAUGCUCCAGAGCUCAAGGAAACAGAUGAGUUGAAGUGUGCUUUGAAGAGAUCAUUCCCUAAAAAGAAAAAAAAGGGACAGAAGGAGGAGAUGAGAAGAGAAAAAACAAAGCAGAAGGAGAAAUAAAG